rnacentral:lncRNA from 1 species
UCUCAUUUUUCAUCAUCUUUUUCACACACUUAAGAAACUCUCUCAACAUUCAUAUAUUAUCCAAGAACACCAUCAAAAAUAUUUCACCUUUCAAGCCUUCUUUGAUGAUCAAGAUGGAGCUUGAAGAUACUUAAGGUGAUCUAAAGCAACAACAAGAAGAAGCAAGCCUUUCCAUCCAUUCAAGAUCUUUCAAAACACCAAGAUCAACACUUUUUCUUUUCUUUAAUCAUCAUCAAGAUCAUCCCUAGCCAUUAGUGCUAGAAGAAAUUAGUGGACCAUGCAGACAUUUCAGUCAAGGAAAGCAAGUAUCAAGACUCCAUGCCACCAUUUGAAGGGCUUGCCCGUUAUAUACCGCCUCUUUGCGGUGAUAUAGUGGUCAAAGCCUUGACAUUUUAAGACUUACAAUUUUAUGUAUAAAAUAAUGACAACUUAUUUUCAUUUGAUGGUUUGUAACCAAUACAUUUAACUUAUGUUCCGUUCUUUUGAAACGAUUAUGACAAUGGCAUUGGAGCUUGUUUUUAUUCAUUUAAUCACACCUCGCGCUUCCGCUAUGAGCGGGUGUGACAUGAUAGGCGUAUGA